CCCCUGUUUUGUAAUGAAAUCGGUGAGGGUUUGGUUUAUGGCUGUUUGUUGGCUUUAAGUAGUCGGCUCGGCUGAAAUAUACGAGCUACCCAAUUUGAAAAAUGAGCGGUUUGACUCGGCGUAAUAAAUGUUUCGCUGAGGACGCUUCGAAAUUCAAGAUAGUGGUGCUUCUAAUGCAUAAAUUCAUUUAAGCUUUAGACCUCAAAUCAGAUAGGACUACCCGCUGAACUUAAGCAUAUCAAUAAGCGGAGGAAAAGAAACUAACAAGGAUUCCCCUAGUAACGGCGAGUGAAGUGGGAAAAGCUCAACUUUGAAAUCUGGCAGCUUCGCUGUCCGAGUUGUAGUCUCGAGAAGUGUUUUCCGCGUUGGCACGUGUAUGAGUCUGUUGGAACACAGCGUCAUAGAGGGUGAGAACCCCGUUCACGACACGUCUACCAAUGCUUUGUGAUACAUUUUCGAUGAGUCGAGUUGUUUGGGAAUGCAGCUCAAAAUGGGUGGUAAAUUCCAUCUAAAGCUAAAUAUUGGCGAGAGACCGAUAGCAAACAAGUACCGUGAGGGAAAGAUGAAAAGCACUUUGGAAAGAGAGUUAAAAGUACGUGAAAUUGUUGAAAGGGAAACGCUUGAAGUCAGACGUGCGCGGUACUUGUACCACUGCAGGCCAGCAUCGGUUUUGUGAGCCGGAUAAAGGUUAAAGGAAGGUGGCAGUCUCGGCUGUGUUAUAGCCUCUAACUGAAUACGGAAUACGAGAUCGAG
rnacentral:rRNA from 1 species